UACCAGGCCUUUCAGAAGGCAAGUCAUUCAGCCUUAAUCAGGUGAAGUGAGCACAAAGGCAGAAACCAGGCCAGGAGAUGUGGCAAGUAGUCUUUUUGAGUUUUUGUAUCAUGUUUAUUUUUCCUGAAGAAACCUGGAAUAAACUAACUGAACUGCAUUUUUCACGUAUUUUGAGAAUUUUUUGUACUGCGUAAAACCAGAAACCCACUAUUCCUCAAGUGACUAUUUGAUUUACAUUUAUUUUUUGCUUUUUCAUUUUUAAGUUUUUUCAUAGACAACUAGUCACUACAUCAAGUAAAAAACCCGCCCUUGGACCUUUGUUUUCAACGAUCUCAAAUCUGCUGAUGAGUGGAUAGUGAAGCCAUGGAUUCAACUUCUUUGUUCUUGGAUGGUGUCACCUGGAGGAAGUGCCGCGCCCACAAGCCAUGAGGUGGGACACAUAAGCAAAGAAUGCAGAGGUCGCUUGGUCUGUACUGUCUGUCACCAACAACAUCCCAGUGUCCUGCACAUUGACAAGGAAAGUACAAAAGCUUUCUCCAGAUGUCCACAGAUUCCUCUGAGAACCACGUCCACCAUGACUCAAACCUGUAGUCAUAUUAAGGUCUGUGAUGAAGAUAAUUCAAUUCUCUCUAUUGUUGCAGUUCAAGUUAGGAGUCCAACAACCAACUCAACCGUGCAGACAUAUGCAUUUCUGGACCCGGGCAGCACAGCGACAUUCUGCACAGAGAGUCUAGCCAGAAAGCUGCAACUGAAAGGCAAAAGAACAAGCAUUCAGCUGCAAACGAUGGGUCAUAAAGACAUUAUGUCAUGACACAAAAACUAAUGCCUGUUUCAAAGCGAAAUGUUCCACAACAGGAGGACAUUAACCAGUGGCCAUACCUGCAAAGUAUCAAGCUCCACAACAUAGAUGCUGAUGUAGAUUUGCUCAUUGGCACAAACGCACCUAAAGUAA